UAUAUUUGCCGUUCAAUUCUUAUAAGCAGAAUUGUUUACAUAAAAAUUAUUUAAACAAAUAUUGGAAUG
rnacentral:ncRNA from 1 species